AUGGGCUCCAAGCUACUCUGCUGUGUGACUCUCUGCCUCCUGGGAGCAGGCCUGGUGGAUUCUGGAGUCAUCCAGACCCCCAAAUACCUGAUCAGAUCAAGAAAGCAGCAAGUGACUCUGAGAUGUUCCCCUGAGUCUGGACACCGCUAUGUAUCCUGGUACCAACAGGCCCUGGGCCAGGGCCCCCAGUUCCUUGUUCAAUAUUUCGAUAGGGAAGUGAAUGAGAAAGGAAACAUGCCAGAUCGAUUCUCAGGAGAACAGUUCAGUGAUUCUAGCUCUGAGCUGAACUUGACUUCCUUGGAGCUGACGGACUCAGCCAUGUAUCUCUGCGCCAGCAGCCAAGACAUAGGUUGUGUGACUAAUGAAAGACUCUAUUUCGGCAAUGGGACGAAGCUUUCCGUCUUGGACGAUCUGAGCCGGGUGCACCCGCCCAAGGUGGCUGUGUUCGAACCCUCGGAAGCAGAGAUCUCCCGGACCCAGAAGGCCACCCUCGUGUGCCUGGCCACGGGCUUCUACCCCGACCACGUGGAGCUGACCUGGUGGGUGAACAGGAAGCAGGUCACCACUGGGGUCAGCACGGACCCUGAGCCCUACAAAGAGGACCUCACGCAGAAUGACUCCAGAUACUGUCUGAGCAGCCGGCUGAGGGUGACCGCCGCCUUCUGGCACAACCCCCGCAACCACUUCCGAUGCCAAGUCCAGUUCUACGGGCUCACGGACCAGGACCAGUGGGAGGAGCAGGACAGGGCCAAGCCCGUCACCCAGAACAUCAGCGCCGAGACCUGGGGCAGAGCAGACUGUGGUGUCACCUCUGCGUCUUAUCAGCAAGGCGUCCUCUCUGCCACCCUCCUCUAUGAGAUCCUGCUGGGGAAGGCCACCCUGUACGCUGUGCUGGUCAGCGCCCUGGUGCUGAUGGCCAUGGUCAAGAGAAAAGAUUCCUGA